rnacentral:rRNA from 1 species
AGAGUUUGAUCCUGGCUCAGGAUGAACGCUGGCGGCGUGCCUAAUACAUGCAAGUCGAGCGAACGGACGAGAAGCUUGCUUCUCUGAUGUUAGCGGCGGACGGGUGAGUAACACGUGGAUAACCUACCUAUAAGACUGGGAUAACUUCGGGAAACCGGAGCUAAUACCGGAUAAUAUUUUGAACCGCAUGGUUCAAAAGUGAAAGACGGUCUUGCUGUCACUUAUAGAUGGAUCCGCGCUGCAUUAGCUAGUUGGUAAGGUAACGGCUUACCAAGGCAACGAUGCAUAGCCGACCUGAGAGGGUGAUCGGCCACACUGGAACUGAGACACGGUCCAGACUCCUACGGGAGGCAGCAGUAGGGAAUCUUCCGCAAUGGGCGAAAGCCUGACGGAGCAACGCCGCGUGAGUGAUGAAGGUCUUCGGAUCGUAAAACUCUGUUAUUAGGGAAGAACAUAUGUGUAAGUAACUGUGCACAUCUUGACGGUACCUAAUCAGAAAGCCACGGCUAACUACGUGCCAGCAGCCGCGGUAAUACGUAGGUGGCAAGCGUUAUCCGGAAUUAUUGGGCGUAAAGCGCGCGUAGGCGGUUUUUUAAGUCUGAUGUGAAAGCCCACGGCUCAACCGUGGAGGGUCAUUGGAAACUGGAAAACUUGAGUGCAGAAGAGGAAAGUGGAAUUCCAUGUGUAGCGGUGAAAUGCGCAGAGAUAUGGAGGAACACCAGUGGCGAAGGCGACUUUCUGGUCUGUAACUGACGCUGAUGUGCGAAAGCGUGGGGAUCAAACAGGAUUAGAUACCCUGGUAGUCCACGCCGUAAACGAUGAGUGCUAAGUGUUAGGGGGUUUCCGCCCCUUAGUGCUGCAGCUAACGCAUUAAGCACUCCGCCUGGGGAGUACGACCGCAAGGUUGAAACUCAAAGGAAUUGACGGGGACCCGCACAAGCGGUGGAGCAUGUGGUUUAAUUCGAAGCAACGCGAAGAACCUUACCAAAUCUUGACAUCCUUUGACAACUCUAGAGAUAGAGCCUUCCCCUUCGGGGGACAAAGUGACAGGUGGUGCAUGGUUGUCGUCAGCUCGUGUCGUGAGAUGUUGGGUUAAGUCCCGCAACGAGCGCAACCCUUAAGCUUAGUUGCCAUCAUUAAGUUGGGCACUCUAAGUUGACUGCCGGUGACAAACCGGAGGAAGGUGGGGAUGACGUCAAAUCAUCAUGCCCCUUAUGAUUUGGGCUACACACGUGCUACAAUGGACAAUACAAAGGGCAGCGAAACCGCGAGGUCAAGCAAAUCCCAUAAAGUUGUUCUCAGUUCGGAUUGUAGUCUGCAACUCGACUACAUGAAGCUGGAAUCGCUAGUAAUCGUAGAUCAGCAUGCUACGGUGAAUACGUUCCCGGGUCUUGUACACACCGCCCGUCACACCACGAGAGUUUGUAACACCCGAAGCCGGUGGAGUAACCUUUUAGGAGCUAGCCGUCGAAGGUGGGACAAAUGAUUGGGGUGAAGUCGUAAC